rnacentral:lncRNA from 1 species
CUUUUGAUUUUGCAAUUCGAUUUGGGGUCCGAAGAAAUCCCCUUUUGAUUUUACAAUUUGAUUUGGGGUUCGAAAAAAUUUCCUUUUGAUUCUGCAAUUCGAUUUGGGAUCCGAGGAAAUUCCUUUUUGAUUUUGUAAUUUGAUUUGGGGUUCGAAAAAAUUUCCUUUUGAUUUUGCAAUUCGAUUUGGAGUCCGAAGAAAUUUCCGUUUGAUCUCGAUUUGGAUUGAAUCUGAACUGGUUUGAGAGUUUUGUGGAUUGAUUCAAUGUUCUCGAAAGGGAUUGAAGGGUCCGAAGAAACGGAAAAUUCUUGAUUUCC